GCUGCCAUCGUCUAGGGGUUUAGGAUAUCGCUUUCUCAAAGCGAAGAUCACGGGUUCAAAUCCCGUUGGCAGCG
rnacentral:tRNA from 1 species